rnacentral:rRNA from 1 species
GACUAGAAUUUUCUCAAGGGAGAUCGGAACUGAGGGAGGAGUAGUGAAAUGCGUUGAUACCCUCGGGAACACCAGUGGCGUAGGCGGAUCUCUGGGAGAAGAUUGACACUGAGACACGAAAGCUAGGGGAGCGAAGCAGAUUAGAGACCUGCGUAGUCCUAGCCGUAAACGCAUGCUUGCUAGCUGCAUGAAUCUACCUUCGGGUGGUAUCGUGUGGCGAAGGUAACCCGUUAAGCAAGCCGCCUGGAAAGUACGGCCGCAAGGCUGAAAUUCAAAGGAAUUGGCGGGGAGGCACACAACCAGUGGAACAUGUGGUUUAAUUCGAGACUAACCGAAGAACCUCACCAGGGUUUGACAUGUAGCUGCACGUCUUAAGAAAUUAAGACUCUCUUGAAGGUGCUACACAGGUGCUGCAUGGCUGUCGUCAGCUCGUUCCGUGAGGAGUGCCCUUAAGUGGGACAACGAGCGCAACCCCUAUUACAUGUUAGAAAUGUCAUGUAAGACUGCCUUGCCAUUUGGCGGGGAGGAAGGAGGGGCAGACGUCAAGUCCGCAUGGUCCUUAUGCCCUGGGCUACACACAUGUUACAAUGAGUACGGCAAUGAGUCUGUCGCGAGCACGUAAGUGUAAGCUAAUCUCUUAAAUGUACUCUCAGUGGGGAUUGAGGUCUGCAACUCGACCUCA